UACGUAGGGGGCAAGCGUUGUCCGGAAUCAUUGGGCGUAAAGCGCGUGUAGGCGGUCCGGUAAGUCCGCUGUGAAAGUCGGGGGCUCAACCCUCGGAUGCCGGUGGAUACUGUCGGGCUUGAGUACGGAAGAGGCGAGUGGAAUUCCUGGUGUAGCGGUGAAAUGCGCAGAUAUCAGGAGGAACACCAAUUGCGAAGGCAGCUCGCUGGGACGUUACUGACGCUGAGACGCGAAAGCGU
rnacentral:rRNA from 1 species